UACGAAGGGGGCUAGCGUUGCUCGGAAUCACUGGGCUUAAAGGGCGCGUAGGCGGGCUGCCAAGUCUGGGGUGAAAUCCCACGGCUCAACCGUGGAACUGCCUCGGAUACUGGCGGCCUCGAGGGAGGUAGGGGCGUGCGGAACUGUGGGUGGAGCGGUGAAAUGCGUUGAUAUCCACAGGAACUCCGGUGGCGAAGGCGGCCCCCUGGUUGGAUACUGACGCUGAUACGCGAAAGCGUGGGGAGCAAACAGG
rnacentral:rRNA from 1 species